CCUAAUAUGGCAGAUAAAUGCCUUAGAGUUAAGUUCUAAAUAUGAAGGUUAUAGCCCUUUUAUUAGAA
rnacentral:tRNA from 1 species